AACCACAAAAUUAGUGUAUGAUGCAUUUAAAUUGCCAAUUGAACAUGUCUUUCUAACCCUGAGUGCAAGGACAAUGUGUUCACAUGCAACACUUAAUGAAAUACAUUCGAAGUGUCCAGAUAUAUAGAAUUUCAUUUAACAAUUACUGACAUAAUCGAAUCAAUCAGUGAUAGUGAUUUCUGUAAUGUGGUUAAUUAAUCAAUGAAACAGUAAGGGAAAACUAUGAGCAGAACAAUCUGUAUAGUAUUAUGGAAAUUUGGAAUUUCAUAAUAUGACAAAAAGCUGAAACAAGAAGCUGUCAGCUCUUACAGAAAAGAAAUGGAAAUUUCAGAAAUUAAACAAACUGUCAGAGAAUAUUCCAACAGGGCCAAGAGAGAGAAAGCGACGAAUUACAUCAUCCACACCUUUUCCAUUUUGCAAUUCCCCUUUUAUAUUACUUGGUCCUCCACAUGAAAUCUUUCAGUGCAGAAUCGACUUUUUUCUUUUCCUUUCACUUUUGCAGUUAUCCUUGUUUACCUCCCUCUUUGCUAUGUGUCCACUUAGUCCCCCGAUCCCCACUUGCUCACUACCUGCAGCUGCUUCUAUUUCUAGAGCCCUUUUACUCCCAUCAUAGCAUUUCUCCCCUAAUGGAAAUCAACCUUCUUCUCAAGGUAGGAGUUAGGAUACCCAGUUUGCAAAGUGAGCACAUCUUCCCAAGGAGCGCCCAUUGAUCAAGUACUUGAGGUAUAUGUUGAUCCCAGUGCAAACUUACUCUGGAUUGUACCGCUCAUGGCAUUAAAAUCCAAGUUAUCAACCGGACCAAACUCAUUGAUUAGAAGUGGCAGAGGCAAGUAUUGUGGCCAACGCUCUCCUUUAUACGGUUUCAAUAAAGAAACAUGGAAAACUGGGUGGAUCUUUGCUGUAGAGGGGCAAUGAUCUGCAAUCUUCACCGGAUUUUGUGCUUUCAUCAAAUUAGGCUUAGGACAUAACAGUGUUUGAUCAUGAUGUAGCAACAUUUCUUGCAAUGGAGGGGUUCGGUGGCAUCACCCAAAUAUUUUAGGAAGAUUGAGAGGGUCUCUCCAUAAACAGCUUUAAAUUGUUUGGUGCCAAUACCGGUUUGGAAGGAAGUAUUGUACCAAUAUUCUGUUCAUGGCAACUUCUUACUCCAGCCCUUUGGAUCUUCAACUGUCAAGCAUCUUAAAUGCAUCUCCAAACAUCUAAUCUAUUAAUAGAUUUGGACUGAUCAUUGAAUUGUGGAUGGUAGGCAGUUCUCAUAUCUAAGAUGGUGCCACUUAUCCCUAGGAACUUCACAAUAGAUUUAAUAAAUACCUCAACUACUUGCUUGCUUGAAUAAACUGCCUUUAAGUGUGGAAAAAUGCACUUAUUUAGAUAGACAAUCCAUGACAACCAUGAUCACUGUGAAGCCAUGGAAUGGGAUAGACAAACAAUAAAAUCCAUGACCAAAUUUGUUGGGGGAUAGGGAGGGGGGAGGACUAUUAAAGUAUUGGAUGAUUUGGCAUGUUGGCAAUCAAACAUUGUUGGUCAUACAGUGAGGUUUGUAUCCAAUGAUAUAUAUUAUGAAAUCACUUUAUCUCUAGUUGAUGUAGGACUUUUAACAUGUUUCUCCAUUGGUUCCAGGAUUUUCUUUAUGUCUUCUUCAAGCUCCUUGAGAUGUUUGUUUUUGGCCAUGGUUCCAUGAGAGCACCAAAUGCAGUGUGCUUAAUUAAUCAAUAAAAUAGCAAGCAAAUGGUACGAGCAGAACAAUGUGUAUAUUAUUAUGGAAUUUUGGAAUUUCAUAACAUGAGAAAAUGCUGAAACAACAAGCUGUCAGCCCUUACAAAAAAGAAAUAGAAAUUUCAGAAAUAAAAAGAAUGUCAAAGAAUAUCCCAAAAGGAUCAAGAGAGAGAACGAGACAAAUUACAUCAUCCACACAUUUUUAAUUUAACAAUUUCCCUUUUAUAAUCACUCAGUCCCUCACUCGAAAUCUUUCAGUGCAGAAUUUACUAUUCUCUUCCUUCCACUUUUUGCAGUAGCCCUUGUUUAUCUCACCCGUUGCCAUUUGUCCGCCCAGUUUCACAGUCCCCACUUGCUCACUACCUGCAGCUGCUUCUAUUUCUGGAGCCUCUUUUACUCCCUUCAUAACAUUCUAUUGGUUGUUUCUGGUUCCACUUCUAUAUCUGCAUUUGAAAUAUUUUGUUAAAUUUUUUUCAACAAACUUCAUUUAGUUUUUUUUUGCUUGGCUACUUCCGUGUUUUCUGUUGGAACAAGGCAAACUACGCACACUAAUACUCAGACACAGUAAGACACACCAAAAUUUAAGGAGAUUGAGAAACAAGAGACUUUCUCAUUUACACACUGAAUUUACAAAGUUUACUAUUAUUUAAAGCUAUGCAAAGCUGUAUAACUGUAAUUAUUACAGUUAAUACAUAAUGUUUGGAUUAUUACAACAUUUUCAACAUCCAGGAAAUAAAUCGUUUGGACACUAGAUUAGUAUUGUUUGAAUGACAGGUGUUGGAGUGUUUUAUAUUCUUACUAAAAUAGCUUAGGUUUUUGCUUGAAAACCUAGAACUGUUGUUACCUGUAUCUUUUAACAUACCUUGUCAUAUAUAGGCCUUUUGAUCCUGAAGAAUAGACAAAACUUUGUGCAGUAAUAUUUUCUGCAACAAGUUGAUUUAAAAUGAGAAUAAAGGAGUAAUGAGGAUUGAACUCUCAUCUACUUGGUCAAAGUGGAUCAAAUACCAUGUUAAGGAACUCACAUUAUAAGUGCAGCAAAUGGGAGCAUAAUGAUAAAAAAAAUGCUUAAUUUUAUUGUUUGGUUAUGUAGUUAACUACAAAUUUGAAUCUGUUUUUGUUCCCCCUUUUAUCUUGUGGGACCAUAUGGCAUGCUCUGUGCACGGAGUCCUCGGAU
rnacentral:lncRNA from 1 species